UACUAGAGUAGCACUCGCAUAUCAAUAAGCGGAGGAAAAGAAACUAACAAGGAUUCCCCUAGUAACGGCGAGUGAAGCGGGAAGAGCUCAAAUUUGAAAUCUUAAAGGGUUUCCCUUUACGAAUUGUAGUUUAAAGAAGUGUUUUCUGUUGAGGUUUUGGUAAAAGUUCUUUGGAAUAGGACAUCAUAGAGGGUGAGAAUCCCGUAUUUGACCUUUACUUUCAACUUUGUGAUACACUUUCAAAGAGUCGGAUUGUUUGGGAAUGCAGUCCAAAAUGGGUGGUAAAUUUCAUCUAAAGCUAAAUAUUGGCGAGAGACCGAUAGCGAACAAGUACCGUGAGGGAAAGAUGAAAAGAACUUUGAAAAGAGAGUUAAACAGUACGUGAAAUUGUCCAAAAGGGAAGCGUUUGACACCAGUGUUGUUUUUCUGAAAAUCAAUUAAAGAACUGUUUAUGCUAAGCUGUUUAGACUUUAUCAGCUAUCUGUUUAGUUUUGAGCUUUUCUUUAAUGCACUUUUCAGUUAACAAGUCAACAUCAAUUUCUUUUGCUGUAAAAAAGCUUGAGGAAGGUGGCUUGAGAUUCGUCUUAAGUGUUUAUAGCCUCUUGCCUAUGCAGUCGGAGAGAUUGAGGUCUGCAGCGUAGAUCCUUCGGGGCUAAAUGCAUUUGUGCUAAGUUAUAGCAUUUUAUAGACAACUUGUUGACUAUGAUUUGUCUUGUAGCUUACUCGCUUAUGUUAUUUUACCUACGCUUAGGAUGUUGAGCGCAUGUCUCUCUCU
rnacentral:rRNA from 1 species